GACGAACGCUGGCGGCGUGCUUAACACAUGCAAGUCGAACGGAAAGGCCCUGCUUGCAGGGUACUCGAGUGGCGAACGGGUGAGUAACACGUGGGUGAUCUGCCCUGCACUUCGGGAUAAGCCUGGGAAACUGGGUCUAAUACCGGAUAGGAGCCAUUUUUAGUGUGAUGUUUGGAAAGUUUUUUCGGUGUAGGAUGAGCUCGCGGCCUAUCAGCUUGUUUGUGGGGUAAUGGCCUACCAAGGCGGCGACGGGUAGCCGGCCUGAGAGGGUGGACGGCCACAUUGGGACUGAGAUACGGCCCAGACUCCUACGGGAGGCAGCAGUGGGGAAUAUUGCACAAUGGGCGCAAGCCUGAUGCAGCGACGCCGCGUGGGGGAUGACGGCCUUCGGGUUGUAAACUCCUUUCGCUAGGGACGAAGCUUUUUGUGACGGUACCUAGAUAAGAAGCACCGGCUAACUACGUG
rnacentral:rRNA from 1 species